GCCCCGCUAGCUCAAUUGGAAGAGCAGGAAGCUCUUAACUUCAAGGUUGUAGGUCCGAGUCCUACGCGGGGCA
rnacentral:tRNA from 1 species